AUUUACUCUAACAAUAUAUCAAAUCAUUAAUUAUAAUAUACCAUAAAAGUAAUAAUGCAAUUUUUUAUUUAUUAGUUAAUCAAGAUUAACUUUGUGCAAUUAUAAGAAAAAUGUAAGAUAACCAAGUUUUUCAUAUGGUUAAUUGUUUGGUUUAAUCUGUUUUACUAAAACUUUAUUUUGUCUUAGUUCCGAUUGGUGAAAAAUUACAUAGCCAAACACAUAAUUCAAAGGCAUAUUUUAUGUGAACAAAAUAAUAAUUUAAAUCAAAAUAAUUAAAAAGUAUUACAUUUAUUAUCACUUAAUGUUUCACUUCAUAUAACUAUUUUACUAAAUAGAAAAUUCUUUCUAUUUUUCUUAUUUUUGCCAAAUAUAUAGAAAGAGUUUUCUUUUUAAUUUAUUUGCGGAAUCAGUUAAAUAUGGACAUUCGGAUACUCAUUGAGAUACAAGUUGUUUCUUUCGGGAUUAAUUUUUUUGGAUUUUGAAAUUAGGCGCCACUUGGAUAUUAUACAUUUAUGUAUGAGGUUUGAGUUGGGUCCUCCUGGGUCUGAAUGAUUUUGAUUCUGAUGUGUAGAAACAUAAAAAUAUCUAAAUAACCAAUAUAUUUGAAAGGGGUUCGUAUAUUUGUACCAAAAAUAAUCUUAUUACCCGAUUCAGUCAAAAUCUUUUGAAUACAAUUAGUUAUACGAUGACACAUCUUAAAUAUAUAACAUUAAUUAUAAAAUAACGAAUAAAAAUUUAUAAAUCCGUAAAAAUUAACACUCGUAUGGGCGUGCGGAUCAAUCUCUAGUAUAUAUUAAACCAUUUGCUGUAAUAUGUUAUAUUGGGAGUUUUUUUUUUUAAUUAUUAUUGGGAGUUAGGACGUGUAUUUUUUGUUUCCUUCUUUUGUGUUUUAACGAAGUUGUGCAUUUAAAUGUUUUGGUUGUAUAUAUAGAUAUAUACAAAAUGUUAAGAAUUUAAAACCAGUUACGAAAAUAUUGUUUAAGAUUUUAUGAUAGAAAUGAUGAUAUGAUAAAGCAGAUAUCUACAAUCAAGUGGUGUAUAUGCAUUUAAACGGUUCCUUCCGUAUACAAUUAGAGUAAAAUUAGUAAAUAAUAAUAAAGUUACCUUCUCUUUCUUCUCCUUACGCCACAUCACCUCAUAGGAUGGGGCGUUUUCCGCCACGUGGCAAGCUUCCCGAGUGAGCGUUUUGUUUCGAGCUUCAGCGGAUCGCGUCACAUUGGGCUUAAGUAAAAACCUUACACAGGCUUCAUUUGAUUCUGUACAAAGUAGGCCCAUGAAGUAAAUACCUUUCUUCACCGUAGAGUUUCAAACGACUGAUUGAAAAAGCUGAAUCCAAACGAUUCCCUUUCCAAUUCCCCGACGACGUUACAAUCUGCAGUUAUGGCCUUCAGGAAACAAACCCCACAAUCACCUUUGUAUCUUCAAUACGUUGUUCUCAGUUUAUAAUAUAAACCUUCCCAGUUGCCUCUCCAAUUUCCUUCCGAUUCAUCUCCACUUUUACUCUUAGACAAGCUUUCCCUAAUGACAAUUUCGCAGCCUCAAUUAUCCAGAAGGCAGGCAGCCCGGAAUUAUCCAUAUGCUGCUGCUAGAUUCCAAGGUUAAGCUUGGAUACGUUUUAUGUGAUCAGUUUGUUCGUGAAAGGAAUGUGAGCUUACACCUCCAGUCACGGGCAUAUUAAAAUUUACUCUCUUUUACAUGUUUAUCUAAACAGUUUUGCAAAGAAAUUUUUAAAGACCCAAUUCUCUCUUCUCCGGUUGCAACCAAAGGCAUAAGCGUCAACGAACUUGUGACAUGGAUGGUUUUUGGAGAGGUGAGAUGACCGACCGAAGCGUUGUUGGUUGGAUUCUUAGGGAUGGGAAGGGAGAAAUGAAGUGUCUUAGAGAAGCCUCAUCUAUUUCGAGGUCCUUUACUGACUUGUGAGAUGAAGCAGAAGCAUUGAUAUGGAGUGUUAUUUGUAUAAUUGGGCUAUAAGAAAUUCUGAAUUUUACCACCUUGGCUCUGACCAAUCUGAAGUUAGGGGUCAGCUAUUUCAAGGAAAGUGACAUCUCAUAAUUCAAUUUAUACUUUUGUUUGCUUAGCGUGUAAGGAUAUUGAUGAACUGCAGCAGAAAACGGAGAUUUUAGUAAGCAUCGCAGAUGGAUUCUGUUAAUGGUGUGAGUUUCGAGUUCGGCGAAGCAAAUGGUUUACUCUAAAAGUUUGCGGGAGAAAAGCCUAUGUAAAAGUCACUGGAAUCUCUUAAAGCAGAACUGAAGAAUGUCAAGAGAUAGCACUGUGGAGUUGAAGCGAAGGAGGCUGAAAUCGAAUAAGUGGUUAGAGAUCUCCAUCCGGAGCGUAGCAAAAGUGAGACUGACCUAGAACAAUGUGUGGCAGAAAAAUCUGAAGCAAACGCCGCUUACGAAGAUAUGAUGUCAACCUUAAAUCAGAUAUCUUCGAGAUAGAAGCUGCUCGACGAGAAGUUGAGCUACAUUUUGAAGGUCGCACCAGAUAAAGUCGAGGAAGCAAAAGCUGCCGAGGUAUGUGCUUGACCACAUAAAGUCAAUGUCUGAAAAUUCAACAGUUGCCCGAAUUUGUAAUACCGCGCCAUCUGAGUGUGGAGCUAAGAGCAUCACACUAUGUCAGGAGGAUUUUAAGUCGCUGAGCGAAGGAGCUAAGCUAUUCGAUAAGUUGGUGAAUAUGAAAGUGGUAAAUAUGAAAGUGGCAGCUGCGCUGGCUCAGGUAGGCGCAGUUAGAGCACACUGAAAAAGUUAGAGGCACACAAGAGGAGAUUGAGAAGCUAAAGACUGCGACAGAAGACACACUGGAUAAAGCAUCCAGGGCUGAUGCUGCUGAGUAUGCAGUUGAAGGAGAACUCGGGAGGUGUCAGGUAAGAUAUCUGAAUAAAGCACAGAGGAAGCAGCUUCGAGGAUUAUUGCAGAGGCUGAGGCGAUGAUUCUGCUGAAUCAUCACCACAAAGUCACUACAAAGCUACGAAACGUAAACAAAUCCACACAAACUCGAGAAGACAAAAACUUUUGUGGUAUAUAAAAGUGGUUUUACCGAAUUUAAGUGUAAUAGUUAAUAGAAAUAAGAAUCAAGUGGAAUGGGGUUCUCCUUAUCUCUAUGGAGAGAAACCCUUUUUGAUGUAUACUUUCUUUUUAAGAGUUGAGAACUUUCGUUGUGGUGAACUUUUCGUUGAUGUAUACGUUUGGUCUUUAAUGUGAAAACUGGUUUGUUGCUGUAAAUUGGAUGAAAGCUAUUUUUGUUGUUUU